rnacentral:rRNA from 1 species
AGUGAACGCUGGCGGUAGGCCUAACACAUGCAAGUCGAACGGCAGCACAGUAAGAGCUUGCUCUUACGGGUGGCGAGUGGCGGACGGGUGAGGAAUACAUCGGAAUCUACUUUUUCGUGGGGGAUAACGUAGGGAAACUUACGCUAAUACCGCAUACGACCUACGGGUGAAAGCAGGGGAUCUUCGGACCUUGCGCGAGUGAAUGAGCCGAUGUCGGAUUAGCUAGUUGGCGGGGUAAAGGCCCACCAAGGCAACGAUCCGUAGCUGGUCUGAGAGGAUGAUCAGCCACACUGGAACUGAGACACGGUCCAGACUCCUACGGGAGGCAGCAGUGGGGAAUAUUGGACAAUGGGCGCAAGCCUGAUCCAGCCAUACCGCGUGGGUGAAGAAGGCCUUCGGGUUGUAAAGCCCUUUUGUUGGGAAAGAAAAGCAGCAGGUUAAUACCCCGCUGUUCUGACGGUACCCAAAGAAUAAGCACCGGCUAACUUCGUG